AGAGAUGCUUUUUAAGGUCAAA
rnacentral:snRNA from 1 species